rnacentral:rRNA from 1 species
GAUGAACGCUAGCGGGAGGCUUAAUACAUGCAAGUCGAGCGGCAAGUUUUGAUAGCAAUAUUGGAACCUAGAGCGGCGCACGGGUGAGUAACGCGUACAUGACCUGCCCUAUACUGGGGGAUAGUCUUGGGAAACUGAGAAUAAUCCCGCAUGUGAUUAGAAUGCUGCAUGGCAAAUUAUUAAAGCUGAGGCGGUAUAGGAUGGGUGUGCGUCUGAUUAGCUAGUUGGUAGUGUAACGGACUACCAAGGCGAUGAUCAGUAGGGGGCGUGAGAGCGUGACCCCCCACACGGUACGUNAGACACGACCGACUCUACGGAGGCANCAGUAAGGAAUAUUGGUCGAAUAGGAGGGAACGUACUGAACCAACG